GGGCCGAUAGCUCAGCUGGAAGAGCACCCCGUUUGCAUCGGGGAGGUCAGCGGUUCGAACCCGCUUCGGUCCA
rnacentral:tRNA from 1 species